rnacentral:tRNA from 2 species
GGUAAGAUGGCCGAGUGUCUAGGCGGUGGAUUGUAGCCCCAUGCACAGAGGUUUAAGUCCUCUUUUUACCA